UAAAUGACGUUGACCGACUUGCAUCUGCAGUUUGGGGCGGAUGAGGUGCGGCACCUUAUUGCAGUCCCACCUUGAGUAUGUAUUCUAUAUCCACUCCUUUCAUCUGUUUUUAUAGAUCAUUUUAAGGCAUGAACCUAAAAAAGAAGCGGGUCUAAUUUUCAUGUGGACCAUAUCAUAGGAAACAGUGGUGAUUGACCAUUAAUUGGCCACAUAAGUUUUGGAUCAAGCUGAUUUUUAAUUUUUCACUUCAUCCAGGUUUAUUUGACCUUAUCAACAGGUUGGAUGGAAAAUAAACAUUACGUGGAGCUCUAAUAAGUUUUAAAUUAUAGGGCUUUCAUUCACCACUGUUUCCUAUAGUAUGGUACAUCUGAGAUUUGUAUCACUUCAUUUUUUGGUUUUUACUCUAAAAUAAUAUGAAAAACUAGAUGGACGGCGUGGAUAUAAAAUAAAUGAAUAAAGUUGGGCCCUGCUGUAAAUGCCACACCGUCUUGGGUACGACCCCUGCCGUACCUAAUCCACUCCCAUCCACAAGAGCUCGGGCUGUAUAUUAUAAUGCAGUUUUGAGUUCCGAGGUUAUAAGAAUCUUGGAGGUUUUUUUUUUUUUUUUCCUCUUUUUUCUUUCAAAGGUGUGGAAAAGAAGAAGAGCUCUCCAAAGAAAGUUUCCGUACGUGGCCAUCCUUUCUCUCUUCUUCUUUGCUUUGAUCGUAUCUCCAAUUCAAUCAAGGAAAAUAGUAACAGGUGAUCUCCAAUCAGUGAUUGUAGGUGCUGAUAGGGACCACCCUCAAGUAUCACUGCUGAGGGGGCAGUGGCCACCACCAACACCAGUGAGGAACCUUAACCGGCCCCCCAUCCAUGGCUAACGAAGACAGUGGCCCGAUCAUCCUGCUAAACGCCUCUUAAGACAGAUUUGCAUUUGAAAAUGUUUGGUUAUGAUCUUUUAUACUAUUUGAAUGGAUAAACCUUUGUAUGAGUUGAAAAUAAAAUUACUCCUUUGUAAGAAUCUCCAUAAUUUCUCAUGUUAUAUUUAUUGCUUUUGGUUUUUGGAUAA